rnacentral:rRNA from 2 species
GGGUUGUGAGGUUAAGCGACUAAGCGUACACGGUGGAUGCCCUGGCAGUCAGAGGCGAUGAAGGACGUGCUAAUCUGCGAUAAGCGUCGGUAAGGUGAUAUGAACCAUUAUAACCGGCGAUUUCCGAAUGGGGAAACCCAGUGUGAUUCGUCACACUAUCAUUAACUGAAUCCAUAGGUUAAUGAGGCGAACCGGGGGAACUGAAACAUCUAAGUACCCCGAGGAAAAGAAAUCAACCGAGAUUCCCCCAGUAGCGGCGAGCGAACGGGGAGCAGCCCAGAGCCUGAAUCAGUGUGUGUGUUAGUGGAAGCGUCUGGAAAGGCGUGCGAUACAGGGUGACAGCCCCGUACACAAAAAUGCACAUAUUGUGAGCUCGAUGAGUAGGGCGGGACACGUGGUAUCCUGUCUGAAUAUGGGGGGACCAUCCUCCAAGGCUAAAUACUCCUGACUGACCGAUAGUGAACCAGUACCGUGAGGGAAAGGCGAAAAGAACCCCGGCGAGGGGAGUGAAAAAGAACCUGAAACCGUGUACGUACAAGCAGUGGGAGCACGCUUAGGCGUGUGACUGCGUACCUUUUGUAUAAUGGGUCAGCGACUUAUAUUCUGUAGCAAGGUUAACCGAAUAGGGGAGCCGAAGGGAAACCGAGUCUUAACUGGGCGUUAAGUUGCAGGGUAUAGACCCGAAACCCGGUGAUCUAGCCAUGGGCAGGUUGAAGGUUGGGUAACACUAACUGGAGGACCGAACCGACUAAUGUUGAAAAAUUAGCGGAUGACUUGUGGCUGGGGGUGAAAGGCCAAUCAAACCGGGAGAUAGCUGGUUCUCCCCGAAAGCUAUUUAGGUAGCGCCUCGUGAAUUCAUCUCCGGGGGUAGAGCACUGUUUCGGCAAGGGGGUCAUCCCGACUUACCAACCCGAUGCAAACUGCGAAUACCGGAGAAUGUUAUCACGGGAGACACACGGCGGGUGCUAACGUCCGUCGUGAAGAGGGAAACAACCCAGACCGCCAGCUAAGGUCCCAAAGUCAUGGUUAAGUGGGAAACGAUGUGGGAAGGCCCAGACAGCCAGGAUGUUGGCUUAGAAGCAGCCAUCAUUUAAAGAAAGCGUAAUAGCUCACUGGUCGAGUCGGCCUGCGCGGAAGAUGUAACGGGGCUAAACCAUGCACCGAAGCUGCGGCAGCGACGCUGAUGCGUUGUUGGGUAGGGGAGCGUUCUGUAAGCCUGUGAAGGUGUGCUGUGAGGUAUGCUGGAGGUAUCAGAAGUGCGAAUGCUGACAUAAGUAACGAUAAAGCGGGUGAAAAGCCCGCUCGCCGGAAGACCAAGGGUUCCUGUCCAACGUUAAUCGGGGCAGGGUGAGUCGACCCCUAAGGCGAGGCCGAAAGGCGUAGUCGAUGGGAAACAGGUUAAUAUUCCUGUACU